GGAGGCAGCAGUGGGGAAUAUUGCACAAUGGGCGCAAGCCUGAUGCAGCCAUGCCGCGUGUGUGAAGAAGGCCUUCGGGUUGUAAAGCACUUUCAGCGGGGAGGAAGGCGAUAAGGUUAAUAACCUUAUCGAUUGACGUUACCCGCAGAAGAAGCACCGGCUAACUCCGUGCCAGCAGCCGCGGUAAUACGGAGGGUGCAAGCGUUAAUCGGAAUUACUGGGCGUAAAGCGCACGCAGGCGGUCUGUCAAGUCG
rnacentral:rRNA from 1 species